rnacentral:tRNA from 1 species
GCCUGGCUAGUUCAGUCAGUAGAGCAUGAGACUCUAAAUCUCAGCGUCGUGGGUUCGUGCUCCAUGUUGGGUG